GCAUACGUCCUGAGGGAGAAAGAUUUAUCGCUCCAGGAGGGGCCCGCGUCGGAUUAGCUAGUUGGUGGGGUAACGGCUUACCAAGGCGAUGAUCCGUAGCUGGUCUGAGAGGAUGAUCAGCCACACUGGGACUGAGACACGGCCCAGACUCCUACGGGAGGCAGCAGUGGGGAAUAUUGGACAAUGGGCGCAAGCCUGAUCCAGCAAUGCCGCGUGAGUGAUGAAGGCCUUAGGGUUGUAA
rnacentral:rRNA from 1 species